rnacentral:rRNA from 1 species
CGCCUCCCAAAAGGUAACGGAGGCGCUCAAAGGUUCUCUCAGUACGGUCGGAAAUCGUACGUAGAGUGUAAAGGCAAAAGAGAGCUUGAUUGCAAGACAUACAGGUCGAGCAAGGAUGAAAAUCGGACUUAGUGAUCCGGUGGUUCUGCGUGGAAGGGCCAUCGCUCAACGGAUAAAAGCUACCCUGGGGAUAACAGGCUUAUCUCCCCCAAGAGUCCACAUCGACGGGGAGGUUUGGCACCUCGAUGUCGGCUCAUCACAUCCUGGGGCUGUAGUAGGUCCCAAGGGUUGGGCUGUUCGCCCAUUAAAGUGGUACGCGAGCUGGGUUCAGAACGUCGUGAGACAGUUCGGUCCCUAUCCGUCGCAGGCGUAGGAAAUUUGAGAAGACCUGUCCUUAGUACGAGAGGACCGGGAUGGACGUACCUCUGGUGUACCAGUUGUCCUGCCAAGGGCAUGGCUGGGUAGCUAUGUACGGAAUGGAUAAGCGCUGAAAGCAUCUAAGCGCGAAGCCAACUUCAAGAUAAGAUUUCCCACCGCAAGGGUAAGACCCCAGAAAGACUAUCUGGUUGAUAGGUCGAAGGUGUAAGUGCAGCAAUGUAUUUAGCUUAUCGAUACUAAUAGGUCGAGGACUUGACCAA